rnacentral:rRNA from 1 species
GAUGAACGCUAGCGGCAGGCUUAAUACAUGCAAGUCGAGGGGCAGCAUGGGUAGCAAUACCUGAUGGCGACCGGCAAACGGGUGCGGAACACGUACGCAACUUUCCCAGAACUGGUGAAUAGCCCUCCGAAAGGAGGAUUAAUACACCGUAAGAUAGAGAUGUGGCAUCACAUUUUUAUUAUAGCUCCGGCGGUUUUGGAUGGGCGUGCGCCUGAUUAGGUAGUUGGCGGGGUAACGGCCCACCAAGCCUACGAUCAGUAACUGGUGUGAGAGCACGACCAGUCACACGGGCACUGAGACACGGGCCCGACUCCUACGGGAGGCAGCAGUAAGGAAUAUUGGUCAAUGGACGCAAGUCUGAACCAGCCAUGCCGCGUGAAGGAUGAAGGCCCUCUGGGUUGUAAACUUCUUUUAUCUGGGACGAAAAAGGGGCAUUCUUGCUCAACUGACGGUACCAGAGGAAUAAGCACCGGCUAACUCCGUGCCAGCCGCCGCAGUAAUAC